UGGAUUGGGAGAACUACAAUGCGAGUAGGUUCCAUUUUGAGGAACACAAACCACCACCAAGAGUGAGUAAGAGUCUGAGUGAAGCGCAUAAGAAUAUUGGUUCGAUGACUGCUUGGAAUAAGUUUCAAGACAAGAUGUUGGAAAAUUGUGGCAAGGCCAUCAACGUAAUUCAGGCUGUACUGAGCUGCUCUUCCG
rnacentral:pre_miRNA from 1 species